GUGUCAGCCGCCGCGGUAAUACGUAGGGUGCGAACGUUAAUCGGAAUUACUGGGCGUAAAGCGUGCGCAGGCGGUUAUGUAAGACAGAUGUGAAAUCCCCGGGCUCAACCUGGGAACUGCAUUAGUGACUGCAUAGCUGGAGUACGGCAGAGGGGGAUGGAAUUCCGCGUGUAGCAGUGAAAUGCGUAGAUAUGCGGAGGAACACCGAUGGCGAAGGCAAUCCCCUGGGCCUGUACUGACGCUCAUGCACGAAAGCGUGGGGAGCAAACAGGAUUAGAUACCCGUGUAGUCC
rnacentral:rRNA from 1 species